rnacentral:rRNA from 1 species
CAGUCGCCACGGGAAUACGUAGGUGGCAAGCGUUGUCCGGAAUUAUUGGGCGUAAAGGGCUCGCAGGCGGUUUCUUAAGUCUGAUGUGAAAGCCCCCGGCUCAACCGGGGAGGGUCAUUGGAAACUGGGAAACUUGAGUGCAGAAGAGGAGAGUGGAAUUCCACGUGUAGCGGUGAAAUGCGUAGAGAUGUGGAGGAACACCAGUGGCGAAGGCGACCCUCUGGUCUGUAACUGACGCUGAGGAGCGAAAGCGUGGGGAGCGAACAGGAUUAGAUACCCCGGUAGUCCCUGUCUCUUAUAC